GACGAACGCUGGCGGCGUGCUUAACACAUGCAAGUCGAACGGAAAGGCUCUAGCUUGCUGGAGUGCUCGAGUGGCGAACGGGUGAGUAACACGUGGGUAAUCUGCCCUGCACUCUGGGAUAACCUUGGGAAACUGGGUCUAAUACCGGAUAGGACCUCCCUCUUCAUGGUGGUUGGUGGAAAGUUUUUCGGUGGGGGAUGGGCCCGCGGCCUAUCAGCUUGUUGGUGGGGUAAUUGCCUACCAAGGCGACGACGGGUAGCCGGCCUGAGAGGGUGACCGGCCACAUUGGGACUGAGAUACGGCCCAGACUCCUACGGGAGGCAGCAGUGGGGAAUAUUGCACAAUGGGCGAAAGCCUGAUGCAGCAACGCCGCGUGAGGGAUGACGGCCUUCGGGUUGUAAACCGCUUUCAGUAGGGACGAAGCGCAAGUGACGGUAACGGGAGAAGAAGCACCGGCUAACUACGUG
rnacentral:rRNA from 1 species